CAUGUCUGCGAAGUAUGCAUCGUAUACGAACGAAUUUAACUUUGGAGUGUAGCUGAUGUUUUUGAAAUGGAUAAAUUCGUAAUUCGGAAAACGAACUCAACAGAAAAAAAGAAACCCUGGUGUGUGUAGUUAAUUUGACUACAGGGAACAACACAAAGCAUCGGCGAGAGAGCUGAACGAUGACGAGAAAGCCAGCACAAGCACGGGAGCAACACCGAAGAAGGGCCGAACAUUUCAACAAUAGUGGAUAUCAAAUUGCAUGUGGCGGGGGUUUGAUGAUGAGAAAGUGUUUUGCAAAUUUGUCAAGAUGAAAAAGGUAGGGGUUUAAUACAGUUCUCUACAAGAGCUGAAUCUGCAUUCAUUGAGGAUGGAUUUAAUGGAUGACAUCACCAUCAGAAAGGUUUCGAAAGCGUGAAAAAUCUGACUGUCAUGAGGCUUCUAGCAAAAUAACAAGCACGCAAAAUGUGUGUGCAAUCAUAAGUGAAGCCAAGAAAAACGAAAUGCACGUUGCACGCCUGGUGUUAAAGCAAAAACAAAAAAGCAUUUACAUCACUACUGUAUUUUGCUCAGGAGGGCCAAGCCAUACGUGGUCAUUACCGAUGACCGAUCCAAUUUUUUUUAUUUGUUUAAGGGGUGAAGAUGUUCCUGAAAUAAAUCAAUGGAUGCAGCGAGCUAACUUAAAAUGGCUGUCACAUGAAGCGACAAACAAAAUGCUUACGAUAAUGUAUCAGGAUGUCCUGGAAAAGGUGCUUAAGAACAUUCCGAGCUGUGUUUUUUUUCUGUUAUGAGUGGUGAAGCUGCACACACAAUCACCCAUGAACACGUUUCUGUUUGUAUUCGUUGGGUCAGUGAUAGUUUGGAUAUUCUUUAUUAGCUUCUACGAGACACCGCGAUGCUCCAGAUUCACAGAGAGUCAGUUGUAGUGGACUUUGAAGAUGUUGUAAACGACUUCAUCAACAGAAGCGCUGCUUGAAGGAACACGUUCUCCUCUACAGAAAUAUAAAGGUCUGUGAGGUUGAGAAGGUCUCCACAGUCUGGAGUCUGGUCUCUGAGAAGCUCAACAUACCUGUCAAUCAACAGGGACUCCUCUACAAAGGCAAGGUGCUGGCAGGAUUACGAGUGGAGCCUGCGCUUGUUGAGUCUGGAUGAUAUGGAGCAGCUGGCGACCCACAUGCUUCACCCUGAGGCUGUGGAGUGCAUGGAGCUGUCCCUCCUGGACUGAGGAAUACUGCUGCUGCCUG